rnacentral:lncRNA from 1 species
UCAGGAAGAGGUUUAUAUUGAGCAACCACCUGGUUUUAUUAUCAGGUAAGGUUUGUAGACUUCGAAAAUCCCUUUAUGGCUUGAAACAGAGUCCUCGAGCAUGGUUUGGCAGGUUUAGUGAGGUGGUCCAACAGUUUGGAAUGAAAAUGAGUAAGUGGGAUCACUCAGUGUUUUAUAGAAAUUCUGAUAGUGGAGUAAUUCUGCUUAUAGUAUAUGUGGAUGAUAUCGUCAUUACAGGAAGUGACAUUGAUGGCAUCACAUUCCUAAAAGAAUUUCUUAAAACACAGUUUCAUAUAAAGGAUUUGGGUUCCUUGAAAUAUUUCUUGGGAAUCGAAGUUAUGCGGUGUAAGAAAGACAUCUUCUUAUCUCAAAGAAAAUAUGUUCUUGAUUUGUUGGCAGAAACAGGAAAAUUGGGUGCUAAGCCUUGUAGUGCCCCAAUGACCCCUAACCUUCAACUUACCACAGAAGACAGUGAGCCAUUUGCAAAUUCUGGAAGGUAUAGAAGAUUAGUUGGCAAGCUGAAUUAUUUUAUAGUGACUCGUCCUGAUAUUGCAUAUUAAGUGAGUUUGGUAAGUCAGUUUAUAUCCUCUCCUACUGUUGCCCAGUGGGAUGCUCUGGGACAGAUCCUUUGUUACCUUAAAGGGGCCCCAGGGCGAGGCUUAUUCUAUGGUAACCAUGGGCACUCAAAUAUUGAAUGCUUUUCUGAUGCUGAUUGGGCAGGCUCGAAAGUUGAUAGGAGAUCAACUACUGGGUAUUGUGUUUUUGUGGGAGGUAACUUGGUCUCAUGGAAAAGUAAGAAGCAAAAUGUGGUCUCCCGUUCUAGUGCUGAAUCUGAAUAUCGAGCCAUGGCACAAGCCGUUUGUGAAAUCUUGUGGGUACGUCAAUUGUUGGAAGAAGUUGGGUUCACAAAUUCAGUGCCUGCUAAGUUGUGGUGUGAUAAUCAAGCAGCUAUCCACAUUGCCUCCAAUCCAGUAUUUCACGAGAGGACUAAACACAUCGAGAUUGAUUGUCAUUUUGUUCGUGAAAAGGUCCAAUAAAAGAUAAUAUCAACAGAAUAUAUCCAAACUGGAGAACAAUUAGGAGAUAUUUUCACUAAAGCUCUAAAUGGGACUCGAGUUGAUUAUAUAUGUAACAAGUUGGACAUGAUUAACAUUUAUAAUCCAACUUGAGAGGGAGUGUUAUAAGUUAUAGAAAGUAAAUAUAUUAAUAUAGGAAGUAAAUAUUGAUAAAUGGGUCAGUUGCUUAAUCUUAGGGAUUGUAUAAUCAUAGCCUUGAUUUUUCUUCCUGUUUAGAUACCAUCUCUCAUGUAUAAAUAGGUUGUAAUCUCUAUUGUGAAAUAUAACAAAUAUUAUCCAUCUACAGUACUAAAUCUUUUGUCAUGGGUUCUGGUCAUGUCAACUUAACCCCUUCUCUUUCUGUAUCCUCUGUGUUAUGUCUCCCUAAGUUCGCAUUUAAUUUGCUUUCUGUUAGUAAACUCACUCGUACAUUGAAUUGUUGUGUCUCAUUCUUUCCUAAUCACUAUAUUUUUCAGGAUCUUUCAACGAAGCAGAUUAUUGGUAGAGGACGUGAGUUAGAGGGUCUCUACGUCUUGGAUCAGCAACUACCUAGAUCACUUGCAUGUUCCACGCGUUUAACACCUUUUGAUGUUCAUUGUCAUUUGGGGCAUCCUUCUCUCUUGGCUUUGAAGAAGUUAUAUCCACAGUUUCAUUCUUUGUCUGUUUUAGAUUGUGAGUCUUGUCAAUUUGCCAAACAUCAUCGUUUGCCUUCAGUAUCUCGAGUCAAUAAACGGGCUUCGUCCCCCUUUGAGUGAGUACAUUCAGAUGUUUGGGGUCCUUGUCCUACUGUGUCUAAGUCUGGCUUUAAGUACUUUGUUACUUUUGUUGAUGACUUCUCUCGUACUACUUGGUUAUUUUUAAUGAAGAGUCGUUCAGAAUUAUUUUCUAUCUUUUGUGCGUUUUAUGCUGAAAUCCAAACCAAAUUCAAUGUUCCCAUUAGCAAAGUGAUAAUGCUAAAGAGUAUCUCUUUAGAGAAUUUCAAUCUUAUUUAUUACAAAAAGAGAUUCUUCAUCAGUCCUCUUGUGUUGACACUCCUUCACAAAAUGGAGUUGCCGAAAGCAAAAAUCGACAUCUUCUUGAAGUAGCCAGAGCCCUCCUAUUCCAAAUGAAAGUACCUAAAUGUUUUUGGGCUGAUGCUGUAUCCACUGCUUGUUUUUUGAUUAAUCGCAUGCCUUCCUCCAUCCUUCAUGGUGAUAUCCCUUAUAAUAUUUUAUUUCCCACUAAAUCUUUGUUUCCUAUUGACCCACGUAUCUUUGGGUGUACUUGUUUUGUUCGUGUUGUUUGUCCACAGGUUACUAAAUUGGAUCCCAAAUCACUCAAAUGUGUCUUCCUUGGCUACUCUCGAUGUCAAAAAGGGUAUCGUUAUUUUUCUCCUGAUCUGAAUCGGUAACUUGUGUCUACAGAUGUAGCAUUCUUUGAGUCCACUCCGUUUUUUUCCGCCAUCAUCUGUUUAUAACACCCAAGGUGAGAAAGAUGACCUUUUGUUAUACACCGUUCGCUCUCUGUCUCCUCAGACUACACCUAUACCUUUCGCUCAUGUGCCAGGUCGCCUCCCAUCUUUCAUGUGUAUUCAAAACGCUUAGAGGACUCUGACUCCACUCCGCUACCCGCUUCUUCGUCGACAGAUCCUGCUCCCACUGAUCCUUCACUGUCUGAUUUGGAUUUGCCAUUGCUCUUCGCAAAAGUAAACGUACUUGCACUUAUCCUAUUUCAGCUUGUGUCUCUUAUGAUCAAUUAUCCUCUUCUUCUCGUGGUUUUGCCACUGCUUUAGAUCCUAUUUCAGUUCCCAAAACUGUUAUUGAGACUUUGUCCCAUCCUGGUUGGCGUGCCGCAAUAGAAGAGGAAAUGAUGGCCCUUGACACUAAUGGGACUUAGGAGUUGAUGUCCUUGCCCCCAGGAAAGUGGGCUAUUGGAUGCAAAUGGGUGUUUGCAGUGAAAGUAAAUCCUGAUGGAUCUGUUGCUCACCUCAAGGCCCGUUUAGUGGCCAAUGGUUAUGCACAAACUUAUAGAGUUGACUAUUCUGAUACAUUUUCUCCAAUUGCCAAGCUCGCAUCUGUUCGAUUGUUUAUUUCCUUGGCAGCUACACAUGAUUGGCCUUUGUAUCAACUGGAUAUUAAAAAUGCUUUUCUUCAUGGUGAUCGUCAAGAGGAGGUCUAUAUUGAGCAACCACCUGGUUUUGUUGCUCAGGGAGAGUCAGGCAAGGUUUGUAGACUUCGAAAAUCCCUUUAUGGCUUGAAACAGAGUCCUCGGGCAUGGUUUGGCAGGUUUAGUGAGGUGGUCCAACAGUUUGGAAUGAAGAUGAGUAAGUGUGAUCACUCAGUGUUUUAUAGAAAUUCUGAUAGUGGAGUAAUUCUGCUUGUAGUAUAUGUGAAUGAUAUCGUUAUCACAGGAAGUGAC